GACGAACGCUGGCGGCGUGCCUAAUACAUGCAAGUAGAACGCUGAAGGAGGAGCUUGCUUCUCUGGAUGAGUUGCGAACGGGUGAGUAACGCGUAGGUAACCUGCCUGGUAGCGGGGGAUAACUAUUGGAAACGAUAGCUAAUACCGCAUAAUAGCAGUUGUUGCAUGAUAACUGUUUGAAAGGUGCAAUUGCACCACUACCAGAUGGACCUGCGUUGUAUUAGCUAGUUGGUGGGGUAACGGCUCACCAAGGCGACGAUACAUAGCCGACCUGAGAGGGUGAUCGGCCACGCUGGGACUGAGACACGGCCCAGACUCCUACGGGAGGCAGCAGUAGGGAAUCUUCGGCAAUGGACGGAAGUCUGACCGAGCAACGCCGCGUGAGUGAAGAAGGUUUUCGGAUCGUAAAGCUCUGUUGUAAGAGAAGAACGAGUGUGAGAGUGGAAAGUUCACACUGUGACGGUAUCUUACCAGAAAGGGACGGCUAACUACGUG
rnacentral:rRNA from 1 species